AACAGUCAUUUGAUCAGGAACACAGCAGUCCAACUUUGAAAGUGAGUGACUGUCCAGAAGAGUGGAGGAGCUCCCCUCGCUUUGUGAAUGUGCUGCUGGAGGAGCUGAUGAACUUUCAAACCAGAGUGCAAAAGUUAUCAAUUCUUUCUGUUGAAGCUUAAGGAAGAUCUUCAAAUAGAUCAAAGCUAAACAUCAAGCUGUGGAUUUGAGUUCCUACUUUGCAGCCAGAUCAGGAUCUGUGGUCUUUGCAGUUACAACGUUGCACUGCACUAAGGCACCAAGAAGGGCCUAGAACCCCAGCAGCAGAGGAAGACGACCCUGUUAUGAAGAUUAUUGAUGAUCAGGAGAGGCAGAUUGUUUUUACUGAAGUAAAUAAGGAGAGUAAACCCAACAGAAGAUGUUUUUCAGCUCCUGCAUUCAGCUGCUCACCUCUCAGCUCCACAAACACACAUUCUGUAGAAAUGAGACGCCACGAGGAAGGAAACUAAACCAGCUCUUCAAAACUAAACCACUUAAGGCAAGAGGCCUUUAUAAAAGAAAAAGAAAAAAAGAAA